GUUCUGGUAACCUCUAUUUCUCUUUUUUUUCUGUAUUCUCUCUUCGAGUUCUUCAUUCACUUGCCCUCACUGCACAUUCUUCUUGUCUCACGAUCUGAUCUCAUGGCUCCUAACACUGUUACGGACUUUGUUUUCUUGUCAGAUUCAAUUUGAGACAAUAAUCACUUCCAUCAUUUCAAAGAUCGAACGCAGACAUGGUUGUACUUGCUGCAUCCAUUGUGGGCAAAUCUGGUAAAGUUCUGGUUUCUAGGAAGUUUGUUGAUAAUGUUGCGCAGAUAUGUGUACUAG